rnacentral:rRNA from 1 species
UACGGAGGAUCCAAGCGUUAUCCGGAUUUAUUGGGUUUAAAGGGUGCGUAGGCGGGUUGGCAAGUCAGUGGUGAAAUCCUGCAGCUUAACUGUAGAAUUGCCAUUGAUACUGCUAAUCUUGAGUAUAUUUGAAGCGGGCGGAAUGUGUCAUGUAGCGGUGAAAUGCUUAGAUAUGACACAGAACACCAAUUGCGAAGGCAGCUCGCUAAACUAUAACUGACGCUGAAGCACGAAAGCGUGGGGAUCAAACAGG